rnacentral:rRNA from 1 species
CCUACGGGAGGCUGCAGUGGGGAAUAUUGCACAAUGGGGGGAACCCUGAUGCAGCGACGCCGCGUGAGUGAAGAAGUAUUUCGGUAUGUAAAGCUCUAUCAGCAGGAACGAGACAAGACGGUACCUGACUAAGAAGCCCCGGCUAACUACGUGCCAGCAGCCGCGGUAAUACGUAGGGGGCAAGCGUUAUCCGGAAUCACUGGGUGUAAGGGGAGCGUAGACGGCGGAGCAAGCCUGAAGUGAAAGGCGGGGGCCCAACCCCCGGACUGCUUUGGGAACUGUACGGCUGGAGUGCAGGAGAGGUAAGUGGAAUUCCUAGUGUAGCGGUGAAAUGCGUAGAUAUUAGGAGGAACACCAGUGGCGAAGGCGGCUUACUGGACUGUAACUGACGUUGAGGCUCGAAAGCGUGGGGAGCAAACAGGAUUAGAUACCCCAGUAGUC